UACAGAGGGUGCGAGCGUUAAUCGGAAUUACUGGGCGUAAAGCGCGCGUAGGCGGCUUUUCAAGUCGAUUGUGAAAUCCCCGGGCUUAACCUGGGAACUGCAGUCGAGACUGUCUAGCUAGAGUAUGGGAGAGGGAAGUGGAAUUUCAGGGUGUAGCGGUGAAAUGCGUAGAUAUCUGAAGGAACAUCAGUGGCGAAAGCGACUUCCUGGACCAAUACUGACGCUCAUGUGCGAAAGCGUCGGGGAGCAAACAGGG
rnacentral:rRNA from 1 species